rnacentral:rRNA from 1 species
UAGGGAAUCUUCGGCAAUGGGGGGAACCCUGACCGAGCAACGCCGCGUGAGUGAAGAAGGCAUUCGUGUCGUAAAACUCUGUAGUAGGGGAAGAAAGAAAUGACAGUACCCUAAAAGAAAGCCCCGGCUAACUACGUGCCAGCAGCCGCGGUAAUACGUAGGGGGCAAGCGUUAUCCGGAAUAACUGGGCGUAAAGGGUGCGCAGGUGGUUUAACAAGUUAGUGGUGAAAGGCAUAGGCUCAACCAAUGUAAGCCAUUAAAACUGUUUAACUUGAGUGCAGGAGAGGAAAGUGGAAUUCCUAGUGUAGCGGUGAAAUGCGUAGAUAUUAGGAGGAAUACCAGUGGCGAAGGCGACUUUCUGGACUGCAACUGACACUGAGGCACGAAAGCGUGGGGAGCAAACAGGAUUAGAUACCCUGGUAGUCCACGCCGUAAACGAUGAGUACUAGGUGUCGGGUGAAGAACUCGGUGCCGAAGUUAACACAUUAAGUACUCCGCCUGGGGAGUACGCUCGCAAGAGUA